GAUGAACGCUAGCGAUAGGCUUAACACAUGCAAGUCGAGGGGCAGCAUGGUCUUAGCUUGCUAAGGCUGAUGGCGACCGGCGCACGGGUGCGUAACGCGUAUGCAACUUGCCUCACAGAGGGGGAUAACCCGUCGAAAGACGGACUAAUACCGCGUACACUCUAUGUUGUGCAUCCAAUGUAGAGGAAAUGAAAUUCGCUGUGAGAUAGGCAUGCGUCCCAUUAGCUAGUUGGUGAGGUAACGGCUCACCAAGGCGACGAUGGGUAGGGGAACUGAGAGGUUGAACCCCCACACUGGUACUGAGACACGGACCAGACUCCUACGGGAGGCAGCAGUGAGGAAUAGUGGGCAAUGGGCGAGAGCCUGAACCAGCCAAGUCGCGUGAAGGAUGACUGUCUUAUGGAUUGUAAACUUCUUUUAGACGGGAAUAACAAGAGUCACGUGUGGCUCCCUGAAUGUACCGUAUGAAUAAGCAUCGGCUAACUCCGUG
rnacentral:rRNA from 1 species